ACUAGAACCGAGAGUAAUUAACAUCCCUGAAACUUUUUCAUUGGGCCAAACUUCUUCCCCAAGUAAACCCUGGUUCUUUUUGCACGCUCCUUCUUUGGAGAUCCAAACGCUGUAGGGAGAAAUGCAGCCUAUAUCCACACUUCUUUAAAUACUUCAUCAUCAUCAUCUUCAAAUAUCAUCAUCAUCGUCGACGGACAAGCUCCAAUCGCCCCCGAAUCCAUCGCCUCUGACCGAUUUCAAUGACAAUCGACUUUCAAAACCCUAGAUCGCAACUGGAAUCUUGUGAUAGCUUAUAACGACUGCUAUAUGGAGCCUCCUUUUAGGCGUUUGCAAACUUGAAAAAGGAUUACCGGAGCGACUAUCCGACGAUUCCAACUUCUAAGUCUCCAGCUAAGGGUGUUAUCGAUGGUUAUUUGGAGCAUUGAAGAUGAAGAUGCCUUUGUGCGGAAAUCCAAAUCAACUGUGUGUAUUAAUUAUGAAAAGAGGAAAUUUCAUGGAGUGAGAUUAUUGCAAAAAUUGAUGGAUUCAGUGUUGUUGUUUCAGGUAUGUCCAUUGUGUAUAUCCAUAACGGCUUAAUAAUUGAUAAGAUAAAAAAAACAUAUAAACAUAAAUUAUAGUUAUUUGGUUAUUUCAGUGUUGUUUCUCCAUUCAUCAAUUUAUGUUUGUUAUGUUUCUUGUUUAGAAUAUGUUUUUAAGCUUUUUGUGGAAAUUCUAAUUGCUGCAUUUUAGAGGAUAGAAAACAUCUAAGUUGGUAUAUAAUUUGAGCACACAUUGCUAGCCGGGAUCGAGGCCAGUGAGGUAUAGUUGUCCGUUCUCUUUUAGGAAUUCUUACAAGUUGGAUUAAUUUUUGUAUUUGGCUAUUUGAACUUUUUUUCUAAAAUAACCAGUUUUGGCCCAUCUAAAUUUUUCUCAGCAAAGUUAUAAAAAACAUCUUGAGUUCAAGUUGAUGUCAAGGGUUGCUAAGUUGAGCAGGACUAUUGAUGAGGAAGAACAUGUUAAGAUUUACCAAUGAGGUGUUGAAAAUGGAGAUGCAAUGAAAUAUGUGGUAAACAUGAUCCUGGGAAGGUUGUUCUAAUUCAUAAUAUUUUUAAUUUUUCGUGUUUAGCACUUCAUUUUACAAUUAGCUGGUAUACUUGCAAUUGAUAUAUAAGAUUAUAUAUAUAUGUAUGUAUAUAUAUAUAUAUAUAUGUGUGUGUGUGAAUAAAAAGAAAACAAAAAAUGUUGUUGGGACAUCCUACCUGAGUGUUUUAUAGUGUGUCAGCCCCCUUCAUACUAAUGGGCUUGAGUUUGCAGGAUAUGAGGUUUGCUUCGUGCUUUAGCAGCACUAUUGAUGAUGAAGAACAAGUAUUCUAAUAUGGGUUUUGUUUUAUUAUUACUGUUAUUAUUAACAAUAGCUUAUUAGAAUCAAAUUUUUCGUUUGGUACCAGGUGUUGAGAGGUGUUUAAAACUGUUGACGUUGCGAUAUUAAACAAUAUAACCCCUCACACUACUGGAAUAAUGGACAGACUAUGUAGUGCAUUUUAGGUAAAUUUAUUAAAUUUUUUAUUGCAUCGAUGGUAAAAUCUACUAUUCUUUUACUAUGUUCAUCAAGCUUGCUUAUUUUGUUGCUGAAAUGUUGAUGUUAAAUUAUCCCCAUAUUAGAUAAUUACAAAAAGCAUUUUAAAUGAA